ACAAUGCCUGCCUCAAUAUCCAUUCGCUCCGUAGCAGUCAUUGCUAGACGAACUCGCUAGCAUAGCGAAAAUAUGCUCAGCAUUAGCGGUUUUCGCUAUUUAUCGAUGUAAACAAACCGAGAGAGGAGAGAGAGCUGGGCGCAGGGGAUAUAGACUACACAAAAGUCUAAAAUCCUAUAAAAGGAGAAAGAAGAGCUGGUUGCAGUUUUACUCACACAGUUGACAAUAUUUCUGUGUUUUUUAUUCACAAGUUAAAUCAACACGGGAGAGGAACGAUGCCGACAGACGACGAGUUAUCUAAGCUGGCAGAGGAGGCCUUGCUGCGAGAAGCGAAGAGAGGAGCACAAAGGGCUGAAACUGUGGGCCAUCGGGAUGGUUGAAAAACAGACUUCCUUCAACAAAUAAAACUUUCCUUCAUAACACAAUUUUAGGGGCACUGGCAGCCAACAAAGCUCAGGAAAGGAAAGAAAAAAAUCAGAGUGAGCGAGGAAAGAGAAAGAGGGAGCAAGAGAAAAGGAGAGAAAUACAUAUAAAAGACUGUACAUACAUGCAAGCACCAAGACAAAAGCUUCACUUACAAACACAGGUAGAAAACCCUCACAACAUGAAGAAGGCAGUAGAGAACCAAGAGAGAAAGGUAAAAAUGAAAAGUUGAUGAUAUGGAGUGAAAAUGGCUUGGAAAUCUCAUCGAGCAACAGAGGUACGGAAAAGAAGAAAUCAAAAGACAGUAAGAGUGCUUUAAACGAUGUCUCAUCAAGGAAGGACAGAUCAAAAAUUUUAUCAAGAAAUAUAAAUUUUGUUUCAAGUACUUUGGAGGAUGAGACAGAAACUUAGCGGACAUGAAACCUCGUGAAUUCCCAUCCUCAUAUACAGAAUAUUUUUAAUAUAUGAAUACAUACAUACAUUUUCUACCAUUAUCCAUUAGUGAAUAGAAAUGUUUUUUCAAAGUGUAACAGGGAAUAAAGCCAAGUAAACAGUCUGAAAUAUAUUUUUGAAAUUAGUGCACAUACAUUAUAUUUCUUUUGGACAAUAUUCUCCACAUGAGAACUGAUUUUUUUGGGGUGGAGAAUUUUAUUUGUAAAGAAACAAGAUUAAGGAGGUACAUGA